rnacentral:rRNA from 1 species
GCUAAACGCGAAGAACCUUACCUACUCUUGACAUCCAGAGAACUUAGCAGAGAUGCUUUGGUGCCUUCGGGAACUCUGAGACAGGUGCUGCAUGGCUGUCGUCAGCUCGUGUUGUGAAAUGUUGGGUUAAGUCCCGCAACGAGCGCAACCCUUAUCGUAUGUUGCCAGCAUUUAGUUGGGCACUCAUGCGAGACUGCCGGUGAUAAGCCGGAGGAAGGCGGGGACGACGUCAAGUCAUCAUGGCCCUUACGUGUAGGGCUAGAAACGUGCUACAAUGGUGGUCACAAUGGGCAGCGAAGUCGUGAGGCUAAGCUAAUCCCAAAAAGCCAUCUCAGUUCAGAUUGUAGUCUGCAACUCGACUACAUGAAGUUGGAAUCGCUAGUAAUCGCAAAUCAGCAUGUUGCGGUGAAUACGUUCCCGGGUCUUGUACACACCG